UAAUUACUCCCUCUGUCCUAAAAUUUUUGUCUUAAAUUUGUUUAGAUAUAUAUGUAUCUAGUCAUGUUUUAGGAUUUAUAUACAUUUAUUUCUAAACAAAUCUAAGACAAGAAUUUUGGGACGGAGGGAGUAUAUU
rnacentral:pre_miRNA from 1 species